rnacentral:rRNA from 1 species
AUUGAACGCUGGCGGCAGGCCUAACACAUGCAAGUCGAACGGUAACAGGAAGCAGCUUGCUGCUUUGCUGACGAGUGGCGGACGGGUGAGUAAUGUCUGGGAAACUGCCUGAUGGAGGGGGAUAACUACUGGAAACGGUAGCUAAUACCGCAUAACGUCGCAAGACCAAAGAGGGGGACCUUAGGGCCUCUUGCCAUCGGAUGUGCCCAGAUGGGAUUAGCUAGUAGGUGGGGUAACGGCUCACCUAGGCGACGAUCCCUAGCUGGUCUGAGAGGAUGACCAGCCACACUGGAACUGAGACACGGUCCAGACUCCUACGGGAGGCAGCAGUGGGGAAUAUUGCACAAUGGGCGCAAGCCUGAUGCAGCCAUGCCGCGUGUAUGAAGAAGGCCUUCGGGUUGUAAAGUACUUUCAGCGGGGAGGAAGGGAGUAAAGUUAAUACCUUUGCUCAUGGACGUUACCCGCAGAAGAAGCACCGGCUAACUCCGU